UGCGCAGGCGGCCGUGUGUGUGAGGCGUGAAAGCCCGGAGCUCAACUCCGGAAUUGCACCUCAAACUACACGGCUAGAGCAUUGGAGAGGGUAGCAGAAUUCACGGUGUAGCAGUGAAAUGCGUAGAUAUCGUGAGGAAUACCAGAGGCGAAGGCGGCUACCUGGACAAUUGCUGACGCUCAGGCACGAAAGCGUGGGGAGCAAAAGGGAUUAGAUACCCCUGUAGUCCACGCCCUAAACGGUGCGCACUAGGUCUUGGAGGAUUCGACCCCUUCAGGGCCCAAGCUAACGCGUUAAGUGCGCCGCCUGAGGACUACGGCCGCAAGGCUAAA
rnacentral:rRNA from 1 species